AGGUUUGUAAAUGGGGGUCGGCUUAUCUAUGGGUUACACUUUCGACAAACUUUUUUCAAGGGGUUAAAAAAACGACAUUGUAUCGCUUUGCAGAAACUGAGAUUUUAUUC